rnacentral:rRNA from 1 species
GUGGGGAAUCUUCCGCAAUGGACGAAAGUCUGACGGAGCGACGCCGCGUGAGUGAAGAAGGCCUUCGGGUCGUAAAGCUCUGUCAUCAGGGACGAACGGCCGGUGGAGUGGAAAGCCACCGGAUUGACGGUACCUGAGAAGGAAGCCACGGCUAACUACGUGCCAGCAGCCGCGGUAAUACGUAGGUGACAAGCGUUGUCCGGAAUUAUUGGGCGUAAAGCGCGCGCAGUUGGGAUCUUAAGUUCAUUUUGAAAGUUCGGAGCUCAACUCCGUGAUGGGAUGGAAACUGGGAUUCUUGAGUACCGGAGAGGAAAGCGGAAUUCCCCGUGUAGCGGUGAAAUGCGUAGAUAUGGGGAGGAACACCAGUGGCGAAGGCGGCUUUCUGGACGGUGUCUGACACUGAGGCGCGAAAGCCAGGGGAGCGAACGGGAUUAGAUACCCUGGUAGUCC